GCCCUUGUAGCUCAGCCCGAACAGAGCAUCGGCCUUCGAAGCCGAGUUGUCGGCGGUUUGAAUCCGUCCAGGGGCG
rnacentral:tRNA from 1 species